rnacentral:rRNA from 1 species
AGUGAACGCUGGCGGUAGGCCUAACACACGCAAGUCGAACGGCAGCACAGAGGAGCUUGCUCCUUGGGUGGCGAGUGGCGGACGGGUGAGGAAUACAUCGGAAUCUACUCUGUCGUGGGGGAUAACGUAGGGAAACUUACGCUAAUACCGCAUACGACCUACGGGUGAAAGCAGGGGACCUUCGGGCCUUGCGCGAAUGAAUGAGCCGAUGUCGGAUGAGCUAGUUGGCGGGGUAAAGGCCCACCAAGGCGACGAUCCGUAGCUGGUCUGAGAGGAUGAUCAGCCACACUGGAACUGAGACACGGUCCAGACUCCUACGGGAGGCAGCAGUGGGGAAUAUUGGACAAUGGGCGCAAGCCUGAUCCAGCCAUACCGCGUGGGUGAAGAAGGCCUUCGGGUUGUAAAGCCCUUUUGUUGGGAAAGAAAUCCAGCUGGCUAAUACCCGGUUGGGAUGACGGUACCCAAAGAAUAAGCACCGGCUAACUUCGUGCCAGCCGCCGCAGUAA